GUCCAGACUCCUACGGGAGGCAGCAGUGGGGAAUAUUGCACAAUGGGGGAAACCCUGAUGCAGCGACGCCGCGUGAGCGAUGAAGUAUUUCGGUAUGUAAAGCUCUAUCAGCAGGGAAGAAGAUGACGGUACCUGACUAAGAAGCCCCGGCUAACUACGUGCCAGCAGCCGCGGUAAUACGUAGGGGGCAAGCGUUAUCCGGAUUUACUGGGUGUAAAGGGAGCGUAGACGGCGGCGCAAGCCAGAUGUGGAAGCCCGGGGCUCAACUCCGGGACUGCAUUUGGAACUGUGUGGCUGGAGUGUCGGAGAGGCAGGCGGAAUUCCUAGUGUAGCGGUGAAAUGCGUAGAUAUUAGGAGGAACACCAGUGGCGAAGGCGGCCUGCUGGACGAUGACUGACGUUGAGGCUCGAAAGCGUGGGGAGCAAACAGGAUUAGAUACCCCUGUAC
rnacentral:rRNA from 1 species